rnacentral:rRNA from 1 species
AGUGAACGCUGGCGGUAGGCCUAACACAUGCAAGUCGAACGGCAGCACAGUAAGAGCUUGCUCUUACGGGUGGCGAGUGGCGGACGGGUGAGGAAUACAUCCGAAUCUACUUUUUCGUGGGGGAUAACGUAGGGAAACUUACGCUAAUACCGCAUACGACCUACGGGUGAAAGCAGGGGAUCUUCGCACCUUGCGCGAUUGAACUAGCCGCUGUCGGAUUAGAUAGUUGGCGGGGUAAAGGCCCACCCAGGCGACGAUCCGUAGCUGGUCUGAGAGGAUGAUCAGCCACACUGGAACGGAGACACGGUCCAGACUCCUACGGGAGGCAGCAGUGGGGAAUGUUGGACAAUGGGCGCAAGCCUGAUCCAGCGAUCCCGCGUGGGUGAAGAAAGCGUUCGGGUUGUAAAGCCCUUUUGUUGGGAAAGAAAAGCAGCAGGUUAAUACGCCGCUGUUCUGACGGUACCCAAAGAAUAAGCACCGGCUAACUUCGUG